GAUGAAGACGCAGCGAAAUGCGAUAAGUAAUGUGAAUUGCAGAAUUCAGUGAAUCAUCGAAUCUUUGAACGCACAUUGCGCCCGCCAGUAUUCUGGCGGGCAUGCCUGUUCGAGCGUCAUUACAACCCUCAGGCCCCCGGGCCUGGCGUUGGGGAUCGGCGGAGCCCCCCGUGGGCACACGCCGUCCCCCAAAUGCAGUGGCGGUCCCGCCGCAGCUUCCAUCGCGUAGUAGCUAACACCUCGCGACUGGAGAGCGGCGCGGCCACGCCGUAAAACACCCAACUCUUCUGAAGUUGACCUCGAAUCAGGUAGGAAUACCGGCUGAACUUAAGCAUAUCAAUAAGCGGAGGA
rnacentral:misc_RNA from 1 species